AAAAUCCAUCUCCCAUUUACCUAUCGCUUUCUUAUUUUCUGAAUUUUUUCUCUCUCUAAAUUUUCUCUCUCUAGAAUUCUUUCAAAGAAUUUUCUUACGUAACCCCACAAGAAUUAGGUGCUUAGCUAAUUGUUGAGAAUUUUGGAAGUUUGGGAUGGCUGGAGUACCAUAGGAUGAUUGUUUUAGGUCUCCAGAUCCAUCGAUGGUGGGGAGGAAUCCAAAUACUCAAUCAUCAAUACACGAAGUGACGGAGGAAGAAUCGUCCACCUCUUCGAAGUUGAGGGAAGAGGCGAUCCAUACUGCUACAGUGGAGACGGACAUGGAUGAAGAUCGUCACAACUUUGACAGGGGGUAAAACAAUUAGUGGUAUGAAAAGUGAGAUUCUGCUAGGCGAUGAACAUGCGAGGUCUAAAUGCGCAAGUCACAAGGAAAGGAAACGGUGUAAUCGAUUCAAAGUCAAUCUCCAUCGCAAGAAAAGUAAUCAGCGCAAUUGACUCAAAGUCGAGUACAAUCGAAAGACAAUCUAAAAGAUUCUGGUAUUGGAGAUCCUUCUCCAGUAAUCGAUGAGCAUAAUCAACAAGCUUUGGAGGCUGUGGGAGUUCAAAAUAUCGACUCGCGAAAAGAAGGAGAAAUUGCUGCGAGGAUUAAAGAACAGGCAACUCGAUUCGAUCAACCACAACACGAAUUGCAGAGGAUUAAUCGAGAUAAUUGAUUUACCCAACAACAACAGCGUAUGCCCACUUCGAACAAGGAACACGAUCCAAAUCUUGAUUUUCAUCGACUUGCAAAUAUUAGAAAUAUAACAAUAAGAACUCAAGGAUCGAAGGAGGUAUUUCAACCGUCAAUGAGUAAGGUUGGUGAGUCUUCUAGAUCUGCUUUUCACAACAAUAGAUCAGAAAAUGCACCAGGUAACAUCACUGCUCGUCUUUACAAUAAUGAUAAUGAGUAUGAUAGACAGUAAGAUUUUGAGUAUCAAGCUAAUUUCCCAAAAAAUUCUAGAAAUUUUGAUCGACCUGUUCAUAAGAGUUCGAAUGAUAAAAUUGAUCAACCUUUAGGAAAUGUUAAUAAUUUUCCUAAGAAAGAUCAAGUUCCACAAUCGGCUCCUUACACUGUUAUUCAAACAUAUGCUGAUAUGUUAAGGUAUAAUCAAUCAAAGAGUGGAGUUAGAAUCAAAUUAACUGAUCCUGAAAUUACUACAAAACAGGGUCUGCUUGUUGUUCUGUAUGUGAAAGAUGAGGUUAUUAAGGAUUUAGCUUGUACUUGCAAAAUCACUCUCAUUGGUAAAUUUGUUUAUACCAUGCCUAGAGUAGAAUUGAUUAGGAAAAAUUUUAUACUUCAAACACAGUUAUCAAGGGGUGUUAAGAUUGCCCACUUUAAUUCUCGACAUGUUUAUAUUGACCUUGAUAAUGACCUAGAUUUUAACAUGGUUUGGACAAAACAAAGAAUGACCAUAGCAGGGCAGAUUAUAAGAAUUCAGGCUUGGACACCUACUUUUAAACCUGAUGAAGAGACUCUUUUAGUGCCUAUUUGGAUUUCUCUUCCUGAACUGCCUUGGCAUUGUUAUAAUAAGAAGUUCAUAACUAGUUUAUUAUCUCCUAUUGGUAGAAUUCUGUAUUUAGAUUCUUCUUCUAUAAAUAAAACUAGGGGAAGUCAGGCUCGUGUUAAGGUUCAAGUUGAUCUUACUAAGGAUAGACCUCCUCAUAUUUGGAUGGGUUACAUGGGGAAGGAUAUCACUGAUGGUAGAUAGCAGAAAAUUGACUAUGAUAACAUACCUGAUUAUUGCUUUUAUUGUAAACACCAAGGUCAUAAAGAGGCUGAUUGUAUCAUUAAGCAAAGAGAUGAAGAAAGUAAAAAAAGGAAAGAGUUGGAUAAAAAUAAGUCUAGGAAAGACAGUUUGCAGAAUUUUCAAAAAGAUUUGCAGGUUUCUAAGAACAUGGAAACAGGAAGAAGGGAGGCUGAUAUCAAUCCUCAAAGACAUCAAAAUCAAACAAACCAACAGCAGAUACAGUAGGAUGAAUGGCAAACUCAUAGGAGGAGGAAUCAACAAGUAAAAUUCAAUGUUGCGAGGGUAAAUCAGCAGCAACAGGAUUAAACAGGUAGCAAUGUUAAUAGGGAGCAAGUUAGUAGGCAACAAAUGAUGGAAAAAUAAGUUAGCAGGACAGAACAUGAUGGAGAUCAAAAAAUUAUUGUAAACAGACCAGCACACGUGUUUUUCCACUAGUUCCAACAAAUGAAGUUAGGUAAAAUUUGAUAAAUCAAUUUUUGUACCUCAUUCUGCACUGGCGGACUUCUCCGGUGCAGUAACAGACUUCUCAGACUUGGAUGUGCUCCAAAUCUUGCUGCAUGUAUUCUCCAAAUAUAUUUCGCAAAGGUUCCUGUAAAUAGAAUAUGGUUAAUGUCAUCUUUUCCUUUCCUGUAACAACAAUAAAGGAUAUUAGUCUUAGCAAAAUUUCCUGUAAUUAGAAUAUGGUUAAUGUCAUUU